rnacentral:lncRNA from 1 species
CUAGAGAUAGAUCUUGUUACCCAUCUCCUAUUAACAAGGAAUAGAUAAGGUUUCAAAGGGAUAAGAAAUAGAAUUCUAAUUGAUAGGAAUUAGUUUUACCGUGAGAGAGGAGGUGGAGGCGUGCACGGUGUGGAGAGGAGGAGGACAUCGUACAGGGAGAGAGGAGGAGGAGAUCGGCCAGGGAGGAAAAAAGGAAAAGAGAAAAAGA